rnacentral:rRNA from 1 species
CCUACGGGUGGCAGCAGUGGGGAAUAUUGCACAAUGGGGGAAACCCUGAUGCAGCGACGCCGCGUGAGUGAAGAAGUAAUUCGUUACGUAAAGCUCUAUUAGCAGGGAAGAAACACUGACCUACGGUCAGCAGACGGUACCUGAGUAAGAAGCCCCGGCUAACUACGUGCCAGCAGCCGCGGUAAUACGUAGGGGGCAAGCGUUAUCUGGCUUUACUGGGUGGAAAGGGAGCGUAGACGGUCCGACAAGCCUGUAGUGAAAUGCCGGGGCUUAACUGCGGAAGUGCUGUGGAAACUGGCGAACUAGAGUGCGGGAGAGGUAGGCGGAAUUCGUGGUGUAGCGGUGAAAUGCUUAGAUAUUACGAAGAACGCCGGUGGCGAAGGCAGCUUACUGGACCGUAACUGACGUUGAGGCUCGAAAGCGUGGGGAGCGAACAGGAUUAGAUACCCCUGUAGUC